UGGAAAAUGGCAAUAUUAUAAAUAUAUAUUAUAAUGACUUCCGUAUCAAUUAUUAAAAACAAGUGAAUCCAAUAUAUCCUCAAUUUAGGUAUACACACUUGUCAGUUCAAUGAAACUCAGCUCAGUAUUUUUUAUUAGUAGAUGUUGUCUGUCCGCGGACAGACACCGAACUGAGCCAAAAAAAGUUGCUUCCACCAUAUUAAAGUUGCAAUGCGCUUGCGCAGCCGUUUGAACUGAGGUGAGGUUCAUGGAUUGAGAUGAGGUAUUUACCCACGCCGCCUGCACAGGCCAGAAAAACUGUGCAGGUUGUCCACACUAACGUUCAGUUAUAAUUGCACAGUCCAACUGUGCAGUUAAAAUUGCGCAGGCAUAACUGAACGUUAGUGGCGGACUUAAGCAAACCGCAACGAACUCCAUUUACCCAUAAUUCUGCGCAAGUCUUGUUAGCAGCCGGAGACAAGCUUCCUGGUUUACAUGCCAUCUAUGUCCAGCAUAUUACUGUGGCGUGUAUAAAUGACCACUUCUGGAAUAACAACAACAGUAUCUCGAACAGGAACGAAAUAAAUAAGGCAACAACAGCGACAAGAAAGGAAGAACGGACACGUCAGAACGACGCCUCAGAGAGACGUAAUCUGUCAUGUAACGAAGGUGCGUUCAGUAAGGCCUUACGCCACAACAGCGAUGAAAGACCUCUUUGGUUCCAGCGCUUGGCCUUUGGCCUGGGUUUUAUAUUCUAACUCCAAGAAGGGGAAGGAAAAAGAAUUCCGAAUAAACGAUUGGUACGAAAAUCGCGACAGCAACCACCACAGAA